rnacentral:rRNA from 1 species
UACGAAGGGUGCUAGCGUUGUUCGGAAUCACUGGGCGUAAAGCGCGCGCAGGCGGAUCGAUAAGUCGGGGGUGAAAGCCCGGGGCUCAACCUGGGAACUGCGCUUGUGACUGCGGGGCUAGAGUGCGGAAGAGGGAGGUGGAAUUCCACGUGUAGCAGUGAAAUGCGUAGAGAUGUGGAGGAACACCGAUGGCGAAGGCAGCCUCCUGGGCCAGCACUGACGCUCAUGCACGAAAGCGUGGGGAGCAAACAGG